rnacentral:rRNA from 1 species
GACGAACGCUGGCGGCGUGCCUAAUACAUGCAAGUAGAACGCUGAAGAGAGGAGCUUGCUCUUCUUGGAUGAGUUGCGAACGGGUGAGUAACGCGUAGGUAACCUGCCUGGUAGCGGGGGAUAACUAUUGGAAACGAUAGCUAAUACCGCAUAACAACAGUUGUUGCAUGACAGCUGUUUAAAAGAUGCAAUUGCAUCACUACCAGAUGGACCUGCGUUGUAUUAGCUAGUUGGUGAGGUAACGGCUCACCAAGGCGACGAUACAUAGCCGACCUGAGAGGGUGAUCGGCCACACUGGGACUGAGACACGGCCCAGACUCCUACGGGAGGCAGCAGUAGGGAAUCUUCGGCAAUGGGGGGAACCCUGACCGAGCAACGCCGCGUGAGUGAAGAAGGUUGUCGGAUCGUAAAGCUCUGUUGUAAGAGAAGAACGGGUGUGAGAGUGGAAAGUUCACACUGUGACGGUAUCUUACCAGAAAGGGACGGCUAACUACGUG